GGAAACAAAGAUGAAACUAAAUAAGAAAGAAUGAUAUGACCAGUCUCCUAUCCUGUGGAGGGGAGAUGUUAUACAUGCAUGUGGAAUGUUUAAUAGAUUGCUCUAUGCUUCUAUUGAAAGAAGAAAGGGGCAGAUGUACCUUGACAUUUGCUUAGAUGUCCAUUUAGAAUGACAUUUUCUAAAGUAGAAUGGCAUAUUAUGUUGCCUAAUGCUCAGGAUCCUUCUAAUGCAGUGUCUUUGCAGCUGCAAGUUUAAUGGAAAGUCAUUCUGUUGAUUGAACUCUGUUCUUCUAUUUGCCAAGAAUCUUUCAGAUCAUUGGUUUUCAAUUACAUUCAAAAUU
rnacentral:misc_RNA from 1 species